rnacentral:rRNA from 1 species
AUUGAACGCUGGCGGCAGGCCUAACACAUGCAAGUCGAACGAGUGGCGGACGGGUGAGUAAUGUCUGGGAAACUGCCUGAUGGAGGGGGAUAACUACUGGAAACGGUAGCUAAUACCGCAUACCAUCAGAUGUGCCCAGCUGGGAUUAGCUAGUUGGUGGGGUAACUGCUCACCAAGGCGACGAUCCCUAGCUGGGCUGAGAGGCUGACCAGCGACACGUGAACUGAGACACGGUCCAGAGUCCUACGAGAGGCAGCAGUGGGGAAUAUUGCACAAUGGGCGCAAGCCUGAUACAGCCAUGCCGCGUGUAUGAAGAAGUCCUUCGGGUUGUAAAGUACUUUCAGCGGGGAGGCGUUACCCGCAGAAGAAGCACCGGCUAACUCCGUGCCAGCAGCCGCGGUAAUAC